GCAUUGGAGGUUCAGUGUUAGAAUUCUUGCCCUCCAUGCAGGAGACCCAGGUUCAAUUCCCAGCCAAUGCC
rnacentral:tRNA from 1 species